CGUAGCAAUACGAAGUUCUGCUAGUGGCAAACGGGUGAGUAAUACAUAGGAAUCUACCUUGCAGUGUGGGAUAACCAUUGGAAACGAUGGCUAAUACCGCAUAUUGCCUAAGGGUGAAAGAUUUAUCGCUGCAAGAUGAGCCUAUGCAAGAUUAGCUAGUUGGUGGGGUAAAGGCCUACCAAGGCGAAGAUCUUUAGCUGGUCUAAGAGGAUGAUCAGCCACACUGGAACUGAGACACGGUCCAGACUCC
rnacentral:rRNA from 1 species